UACGAAGGGGGCUAGCGUUGUUCGGAAUUACUGGGCGUAAAGCGCACGUAGGCGGAUAUUUAAGUCAGGGGUGAAAUCCCGGGGCUCAACCCCGGAACUGCCUUUGAUACUGGGUAUCUCGAGUCCGAGAGAGGUGAGUGGAAUUCCGAGUGUAGAGUUGAAAUUCGUAGAUAUUCGGAGGAACACCGGUGGCGAAGGCGGUCUGCUGGGCAGUUGCUGACACUGAGGCGCGACAGCGUGGGGAGCAAACAGG
rnacentral:rRNA from 1 species